UAUCUCCUUCAUUUAACGCUUUUUUUAUUUAACUAUUCUGAUCUAAUUCCUAUUCAAGCCUAGUACAUGUUGGGCGUUUUAUCUGCUACUCUGUGAUUAUUACGAUGAGAUAGGGAAAAGCAAAGAUAUUAAGUUUUGACUGAUUCUUAUCAUCGAUUGCAAGUGAUGGAAUUAAUGGUAUUACUCAAAUGAAAAAUAGUAGAGAACACAACGAAGACUGUCGGCAAAAAAUUCGCAGUUUCAAGAUUUGAUUUUAGUAACUCCCUUUUUUCGGAGUGGCAUCAUCACACUUGAAAACCCAGUUUUAUUUAUCAUUCACCUUUGGGCUAGGUCUAUGAGGAUAGAAAAUCGAUGCUGAGACAGUUUUAAGUUUACGUUCUAAAGUGGGCCACCAGCGCUAAUUGAUUCCAAAAAAGUACAUCGUUUUAUGGAGCCGUCAGCUUGUUUUCCUUUCACUGGGAAAAAUUAAAAGGUUCGACGUUUAGUUUGCCCUGGUUUAUGGGUCUUUCAUUCCAUUAGCAAACAGAAUUGCUAUGCAUUAAUUCAUCGUGCCAGUUAUAUACUGUCCUUAAUGCAUGAAUGGGUAGUUUUUAUAAGAAGAAAAUCUUCCAGGUUUAUAGGAAGAAUAUAAAAGGAGUUCCCGAAAAAAAAUUAAAGGAAACGAUGUGACGGCAUAUAAUGUCUUCCACUGAUUGCCGGUGACCACAUGAGACAAACAAAAGGCAGAAGUGAAAGAUCUAUUACAGCUCACAACAUUUCCACUUUCAUCUGCUGGCUUUGAAAUUCCCAGACCGAGAUCUAUAAGGAACAUAUAUCCACUAAGAAGCUCAAGGAUUAAACUGAAAUCUGUCGAGGGCCUUGUAUCCAUGGUUUAGUCCUAGACAAGAACCGCUUUCUACUCAGUGAACUCAGCGCUACUACCGAGCUCAUUGGUGCUCAUGCAGUUACUUGGUAUGAACUGAUCGUACAGCCAUCAAUAGAUUAUCACGGAUACAUUUACUGUCAGCCAGGAUUAUCAAGGUCUGGAUCCCUCGGUUAACUACUUUAUUUUCACUAAUACGAUCUCGCCCAACCAAGACAAUAGCGUACUGUUCAAGGAAUUUCGAGGCCCUAGACAUUCCUUUCGUACAAAGGGGGUGCAAAGACUUCUGGUGAUGAAUUUUCCUUGAUAACAUUCGUGGAUCUAUGCUUUUCGAGAACUAUACUAAUAUAAUAGCGACUUUAUAACUAGGGACUGUAUAUUUCAGAGCAUCUGCACGUCUAACAUUAGUUGCAAAGUACUUCAAAGAAAAAGUGGAUUACACAACCACAAUAAUCUGAAAUUAUCUAUUUGCGUCUUAGAGACUAAGCUGUUAACGCAUUGUGCUAUAGAAGCAUGAUAAGGUUCCUCACCGCGCAACAAAGGUUUCAGGUAGUCACUACUUCAUCAGUUUCCUCAACGCCAGUUAAGCGUAGUAAAAGUAUUAUUAUCAAUUCUACAAGUUCUAGAAAUAUCGUGAAGUCUUUAAUAGUUCUCAUCGACAUUCCACAGUAAGUGCAGGUAUUUACUAUUUGUCAGAACAAAUAUUUCGUCCCCGUCGUGGUUUCUGCUUUUCAGGACGGGGUUUGAGGGCCCGUACGAUCGUCGCAUGCAGAAGCAAUGUUCAUGUGACGCAGUUAUAAAUCUAUGUAGAACAAAUUCAUGGUUUUAUGUUUUAAAAUAACACACCCAUUUUAUUUCUUUCAACAAGUUCGCAGGUUCAAAUGGGAUUCAAACAACUGAAAAGAGAGAUUACUAUCAGUUUUUCAAACAGUGUUUACUCAUUCCUCAUGGAAGGAAUUGAACCUUUGUUAAUAUUCCAUUUAUUACUUUAAGUAAUUACAAUCAACCUUACCUUAGACAUAUUUAACUAUUACCGAUUUUAAGUGCGUGUCAAACUGUGUCAGUUGUGACCCGACAUACGCACUUAAAUUUGUUUUACAUUUCACAACCCUAUUGGAUAUUAAAAGGGCCUUUAAUUUCCGCCGGACAAAUAAAUCUGUAAAUCACUUCCA